UACGUAGGUGGCAAGCGUUGUCUGGAUUUAUUGGGUUUAAAGGGUGCGUAGGCGGCUUUGUAAGUCAGUGGUGAAAUAUGGCAGCUCAACUGUCAAGGUGCCAUUGAUACUGCGGAGCUUGAGUACAGAUGAGGUAGGCGGAAUUGACGGUGUAGCGGUGAAAUGCUUAGAUAUCGUCAAGAACACCUAUAGCGAAGGCAGCUUACUAGGCUGUAACUGACGCUGAGGCACGAAAGUGUGGGGAUCAAACAGG
rnacentral:rRNA from 1 species